GUGCUUGCUUUGGCAACAUAUAUACUAAAAUUGGAAUGAUACAGAGAAGAUUAGCAUGGCCCCUGCAGAAGGAUGACAUACAAAUUCAUGAAGUGUUCCAUGUUUUU